CCUACGGGUGGCUGCAGUGGGGAAUAUUGCACAAUGGGCGCAAGCCUGAUGCAGCCAUGCCGCGUGUAUGAAGAAGGCCUUCGGGUUGUAAAGUACUUUCAGCGGGGAGGAAGGUGCUGAGGUUAAUAACCUCAGCAAUUGACGUUACCCGCAGAAGAAGCACCGGCUAACUCCGUGCCAGCAGCCGCGGUAAUACGGAGGGUGCAAGCGUUAAUCGGAAUUACUGGGCGUAAAGCGCACGCAGGCGGUCUGUCAAGUCGGAUGUGAAAUCCCCGGGCUCAACCUGGGAACUGCAUUCGAAACUGGCAGGCUGGAGUCUUGUAGAGGGGGGUAGAAUUCCAGGUGUAGCGGUGAAAUGCGUAGAGAUCUGGAGGAAUACCGGUGGCGAAGGCGGCCCCCUGGACAAAGACUGACGCUCAGGUGCGAAAGCGUGGGGAGCAAACAGGAUUAGAUACCCCAGUAGUC
rnacentral:rRNA from 1 species